rnacentral:rRNA from 1 species
AUUUAACCUCAAAUCAGGUAAGAAUACCCGCUGAACUUAAGCAUAUCAAUAAGCGGAGGAAAAGAAAAUAACAAUGAUUCCCUUAGUAACUGCGAGUGAAGAGGGACAAGCUCAAAUUUUAAAUCUGUUAGGUUCAUCUAACCGAGUUGUAAUUUGAAGAGGCGUUUUCUGCGUUUUUGAUCAGUCCAAGUCCUUUGGAAUAAGGCAUCAUGGAGGGUGAGAAUCCCGUUCGGUUGAUCAAAUUUGCUUUAUGAUACGUCAUCUAAGAGUCAAGUUGUUUGGGAUUGCAGCUUAAAAUGGGAGGUAAAUUUCUCCUAAGGCUAAAUAACGGCGAGAGACCGAUAGCGAACAAGUACCGUGAGGGAAAGAUGAAAAGUACUUUGAAAAGAGAGUUAAAUAGCACGUGAAAUUGUUGAAAGGGAAACGAUUGAAGCCAGUCGUACCUGCGGACAAUCAGCCUUUCGGGUGCGAUUAUGUGGAGCGUGGGGAGCUAAACACCUUCAUGCCUGCGUAUUUGUAUUCUGGGGUGUACUUGGACGUGCGGUAGGUUAACAUCAAUUUCGGACGUCAUAAAAUGGCUGGAGGAAUGUAGCUUCGGUCUCGUACUGAAGUGUUAUAGCCUUCGGCAGAUAUGGUGACCGGGAUUGAGGAUUGCAACGGAUACCUUUUGGGCUACCCGCCUGAUCUCUGAAAGUUGCUCUGGUGCCGAAAGCUUGCUUACGGUUAUCAAAGUUGACGUUCAAAAGGUUAGAACGGGUUAAAUUCGUUAAGGAUGUUGACGUAAUGGCUUUAAACGACCCGUCUUGAAACACGGACCAAGGAGUCUAACAUAUAUGCGAGUG